rnacentral:rRNA from 1 species
GACGAACGCUGGCGGCGUGCUUAACACAUGCAAGUCGAACGAUGAAGCGGUGCUUGCACCGUGGAUUAGUGGCGAACGGGUGAGUAAUACGUGAGUGACCUACCUUUGACUUUGGGAUAAGCCUGGGAAACUGGGUCUAAUACCGGAUACGCCCAAUCUCUGCAUGGGGUGUUGGUGGAAAGCGUUAUGGAGUGGUUUUAGAUGGGCUCACGGCCUAUCAGCUUGUUGGUGAGGUAAUGGCUUACCAAGGCGACGACGGGUAGCCGGCCUGAGAGGGUGACCGGCCACACUGGGACUGAGACACGGCCCAGACUCCUACGGGAGGCAGCAGUGGGGAAUAUUGCACAAUGGGCGCAAGCCUGAUGCAGCGACGCCGCGUGAGGGAUGACGGCCUUCGGGUUGUAAACCUCUGUUAGCAUCGAAGAAGCGAAAGUGACGGUAGGUGCAGAGAAAGCGCCGGCUAACUACGUG